rnacentral:sRNA from 1 species
GUGGGCAUGGGUGUGUGUGUAUGUACAGGCAUUCAUGCAUAGGUCUGUGGGUGCAUGUGUGUAUGUAUGUAUUUGGGUGCGUGCAGGUGCACACACGUUCACACUACAUGGCUAAACAAUUCUAACCCUUAGGUAGAUGUUGGCAGAUAUCCAAGAGAAUGGAGAACAUUUGCCUCUAUAAAACCUUGUAUGCAAAUGUUCACAGUGACAUAUUUAUGACAGCCCCAACCAAAAACAAUCUGAGCAUCCACCAACUACUGAACAAGUGAGUAGAUGUGGUGUCCUCCUACAGCAGGAUGCUACAAGCAAGAGACAGCAAUACAUGCUGCGAUGUGAACAAAAAUGCUACUGUGAGCAAAAGAAGGCAGGCACGAAGGAUUGCAACAUGCAGAAAGGAGCAUUAUGGGGAGACAGAACUAUUUUAGCAUUAAUCGUGAUGAUAGGUGCCCCUCUGUAGGCUUAUUGUAGUCACUAAACUGUGUAUUUAUAAUGAUUAAACUUUAUGGUAUGUAAAUAUUUCCAUUCAGCUUUCAACAAGAAGCUAACAGCCAGUAGCUGGCCUCCCAGAGAUGCUUGGGUCCUUCAGCCUGAAGUAGCCCACCCUGUUUCUCUGCACGUGUUAAUGGUGCCUGUUUAUUUCCUUUAAUCUGUAAAUAUUUAACUUGUUUCCUUGUUUGCUUUUCUGUGAAGUGGGAUUGUGUAAGAGGAAGGUUCAAGUCCACCCUGGUCUCUGUUGUAUCCCAGUGUUUGGCACAUUAGAAUUCUUGAUAGACACUUGAGUAACACAAAGAAAUGAAUGAAAUAAAAGAAGGCGCAUGUUCAAUUUGUCAUUAAAAACUAAUGCGCUCUGAUACUAUGAUUACCCACGAGCAUCUUCAUUCUAAAUAGAGAUAUUUGUCUUCAGAGCAGCAAAAUCCUCAACCCGGUGCCCCGUGUCACGGUGGGACAGAGAUGAAAUGGAAAUGAGAUCGUUCUCUGCCACCUCAGAUUUAGGGACCCUGGGGGAAGGCGGUAGAGACUCAUGGAUCUGGGAGAGGACAGGAGCUACAGUUGCACAGUUAGCUGAUCUGCAGCCAGCACACCGGGAGCGUUGCCUAAGAACACAGUGUCACUGAGUCACUCUGCAAUGCGCCCAAACUAUGCAGUUCUCAAAAUGAAGCCAGGUCACCCGGCUCCCAGCUACUCCCAGAUGUUGAAAGUGAGAGGAGCUCUGCGGUUAGAGUAGGGUGCCCUGUCUUCGCCAGGCCCUUCUUACGUGACAACGAUUUAAUGUGGAAGGAGAGAGACUGGUAGUAGGGCAUGCGGUUGUCGAUGCUGUUUCUGCACUGAUACUGGCUUGGGAAAUUUAAGAUUUUAUAUCUAUUUAUUUACUUAAAAUUUUAUGUUUUGGAGGACUCAGACAUGGCAGUGUUAUCCAUGUCACUCUUGCCUCUCCCUCACACCUUAAAUUCCUCUUAUUCCCCUCUCAAACUCAUAGUCUGUUCGUGUGUGUGUGUGUGUGUGUGUGUGUGUGUGUGUGUGUGUGUGUGUGUCCAGGGCUAAACAUUGGGAUGAGACUAGGCAGGAAGCCUGUCCCAGGAGGACACCAAUUCUCCCUGCCUUAGCAGCUAUUGGCCACCUGUCAUUCUUCAUCUAGGGGUGGGACAUGUGGAAUUCUCCAGUCCACACUGACAUAUCAACCAUGAUGGUUUUUUCAGACAACCAUAUUGUUGCGAUUUCACGGGUGUGUUUUCCCUGCCGUGCUGAGGGGAAACCAGCAACAGGCAUCCUGAGCAACUGGCUGUGGGCGGUUUUGUUUUUUAAUCACAAAGCAUGUAAAUGUAGACUAAAUCUACAUUUAUAACUUUAAAAUGACUUAAUCAAUGUUUACAUUUGUGUUCAAGUUUCUAAGACGGUGAAUACUGACAGGAGUGAUCUUCACAGGCAAAAGCUUUUGGGGUUCUCCAUGCUCCCCCUUCUCCCUGAUCUCUGUCCUUCUUAGUCUGUCUAUUCUGUUGUCUAGGGACGGAGCCUCCUGUGUACACAGCAGAUGUUCUCCCCUUAGUUGGAUGGAGGAAGGCUUAUGAGGCCCCACGCUAUCACUUAGGAGACACAGGCAGCAAGGCCGCUAAGGCGGGGGUCAUCUUCCCCAGUCGUACAGCUAUUGGUAGGUUGCCUGUGUUUGACAAAAUGACCCAGACUCAUGCUCCUGUGAGUAGCAUCAAAUCAAUGCAGACAAAGAUGCACAAGCGCACACACAGUGAAGACCCAACAGGAUCUUCUUGGGAGCCAGCAGGGCGAGGGAAGACCAAGAGGAUGAUGGCAGAGAGUGAAAGUGAUCCUAGUAGACUGUAUAGAACACGACGCCGUGAAAUGAUAACGACAGAGAGAUCAAAGUAAGCUGGAGACGUAAAGCUAGGACGUCUGUCCACUGCUGUAGAGGGGACAGAGGGUGGGAUGUAGGGUGUUUUGUCGAUGGUACUGAGGAUGCUAUAGAAUAAACAAACAGCACUCGGGGUCACAGACACAUUCGGGGCAGCAAAUUGUAAGACCCAAGGAUGUCCAGGCCUCCCUGUGCGGCAGGCAUGAUCUCAGGCGCUGGUUGAGCUGCCUCCUGGCCCCGAGGAUCACAGUUGCACAGUGAGCUGUAGGAACAACUGCUCUGAGCAAAGCAGAUGGGAAGAACACUUGAUGACUGGACAGAGAGUGAUACUCCGCUGCUCCUGGGCCCCACUGCUAAGAUCCGGUUACAGUGAGAGCCGAGAGUGAGUGCUGUGUAGAUAUAGACCAAGACCUUGUGUGGGCGUCAGACUCUGAGUCUGGAAGGAAGCCUCGCAACUAGAGACAGUCAGAAGCUAGGACUGAACAAAUUGCAACCGUUCUCAGCCGCAGACGGUGAUGUUAACUAUCUCACGCAUGACAGGACAGAUCACAUAGCACAUUCGCCACCGGUGAAGAAGGCGCGGAGAGAUUCGGAAAGUCAUCCGGAGAUAUUUAAAACCCACGAAUAGAGCCGCGUGCACAAGGAAGACCGGCACGCUGUGGAACCGUUUCUGCCUUUAUCCUGUUUUAAUUACUCUGUUCAAAUUUGCCGCCUUUCCACUAGUUCUGACCAGCCUUUUGUUCCCAAUUUAUCUGGACUGGUGUGGUUUGCCUUGAUAACUCCCUAAGCUUGGGGCUGAAAUAGUCAACACGGCGAAAAUAAAAUGUUGAUCAUUAA